rnacentral:rRNA from 1 species
UACGUAGGGUCCAAGCGUUAUCCGGAAUCACUGGGCGUAAAGCGUGCGUAGGUGGUUUGUUAAGGGUAUUGCGAAAUCCUGUGGCUCAACCAUAUGGACUGUAAUGCAUACUGGCAAACUAGAGGACGGCAGAGGCAAGUGGAAUUACUGGUGUAGCAGUGAAAUGCGUAGAGAUCAGUAGGAACACCAAUGGCGAAGGCAGCUUGCUGGGCCGACCCUGACGCUAAGGCACGAAAGCGUGGGGAGCGAACAGG